GACGAACGCUGGCGGCGCGCCUAACACAUGCAAGUCGAACGGAGUCAAGAGGAGCUUGCUUUUCUUGACUUAGUGGCGAACGGGUGAGUAACGCGUGAGUAACCUGCCCUGGAGUGGGGGACAACAGUUGGAAACGACUGCUAAUACCGCAUAAGCCCACGGAUCUGCAUGGAUCUGCGGGAAAAGGAUUUAUUCGCUCUAGGAUGGACUCGCGUCCAACUAGCUAGUUGGUGAGGUAACGGCCCACCAAGGCGACGAUUGGUAGCCGGACUGAGAGGUUGAACGGCCACAUUGGGACUGAGACACGGCCCAGACUCCUACGGGAGGCAGCAGUGGGGGAUAUUGCACAAUGGGGGAAACCCUGAUGCAGCGACGCCGCGUGGAGGAAGAAGGUUUUCGGAUUGUAAACUCCUGUCGUUAGGGACGAUAAUGACGGUACCUAACAAGAAAGCACCGGCUAACUACGUG
rnacentral:rRNA from 1 species